rfam:Actinophytocola xinjiangensis strain CGMCC 4.4663 contig28, whole genome shotgun sequence.
GGACGCGGGUGCCGUGAGGCCUCGGUCCGCUCGCUUUCGGCCCUGGCGCACCUUCCCCGGUGCCAGGUCCGACGAGCGGGCGGGGACCUGGCGGCACCCCCGCCUCGUC